rnacentral:rRNA from 1 species
GCCCUUGCUAUGCAAUGCUGGCAACAGCGAUAAGGGAACCUCGAGUGCCAGGUUACAAAUCUGGCUGUCGUGAUGCCUAAAAAGCAUUGCAUAGCAAGGGCCGGGCAAGACCGGUGCCAGCCGCCGCGGUAACACCGGCGGCUCGAGUGGUAACCGUUAUUAUUGGGUCUAAAGGGUCUGUAGCCGGCCGGAUAAGUCUCUUGAGAAAUCUGGCAGCUUAACUGUCAGGCUUUCAGGAGAUACUGUCUGGCUCGAGGCCGGGAGAGGUGAGAGGUACUUCAGGGGUAGGGGUGAAAUCUUGUAAUCCUUGAAGGACCACCAGUGGCGAAGGCGUCUCACCAGAACGGACCUGACGGCAAGGGACGAAAGCUAGGGGCACGAACCGG